UGGGGAAUAUUGGACAAUGGGCGCAAGCCUGAUCCAGCCAUGCCGCGUGAGUGAAGAAGGCCUUAGGGUUGUAAAGCUCUUUCACCUGCGAAGAUGAUGACGGUAGCAGGAGAAGAAGCCCCGGCUAACUCCGUGCCAGCAGCCGCGGUAAUACGGAGGGGGCUAGCGUUGUUCGGAAUUACUGGGCGUAAAGCGCGCGUAGGCGGUUUGUUAAGUUGGGCGUGAAAGCCCGGGGCUCAACCCCGGAGGUGCGUCCAAAACUGGCGGACUAGAGACCGAGAGAGGGUGGUGGAAUUCCCAGUGUAGAGGUGAAAUUCGUAGAUAUUGGGAAGAACACCGGUGGCGAAGGCGACCACCUGGCUCGGCCCUGACGCUGAGGCGCGAAAGCGUGGGGAGCAAACAGGAUUAGAUACCCGUGUAGUCC
rnacentral:rRNA from 1 species